UGAUUCUCCCAGCAGUGUCGAUUUUGUUAAGUCUUCUUUCUUCUCAGCUGAGACUCUCCUGAUGUGCUGUACUUCUACAACCAGAAACCUAGGCUUUUGAAGUUAGAUGAAGUCGAUCACUUCUGGAGGAUAGCAGAUCUUGACGAAUGAUGUUAAUAGGCAACUGGACAAAAGAAAGAAAAAGAAAAAAAUGGAACGGAGAACCUCUACCAUCUCAGACAAGUGACUGUCCAGUCUAUUCUUAAAAACCUCCAGUGAUGGAGCGCCCAUGAU